rnacentral:lncRNA from 13 species
AUCUUAUGAGGCUUUAGGGGGACUCCAAAAUGCUGCCAUUGCUGGGGAAUCUGUAGAUGAACAAAGGGACUGAUGUUUUUUGGGGGAAGACCCCCGGGACUGCUGGGUCUACCUCACCUCCCAACAGCUGGGUCUAGACCUGGUGCCGUUGACAGGAAGGUGACCCAGACCCCUGUGGUCCCCUGCACCGCACAGAGGGAGGCUGGUUCCUGCCCUUGGGUCUGUCCUGCCUUGGAGAGAGGCCUUGCUGUUGAAUGACUCGGCGUUUAGGGAAUGCCACGUCUCUCUGGCAUAAAGGAACUGGUGUCCAGAACAAGCUCGUGCUGAGCUGUGUGUGAAGGUGGGCCGAGGUGGAGGCCAGGCAGCCAGGAGCCCACAGGCUUGGCUUGUCCGACGGCACGGCCAAGCCCACGCUCAGCCUGCCCAAGAUGGUGAAGGGGACACAGUCCCAGGCGAGCAAGCUGGAUCGAAGCCAGUGACAGCUCUCCCAGAGGGUGAAGAAGGGAAUUUAAGAACACUUCACCCAUCUGGAACUAGGAAAUGCCGUGGGAGCAGACAUAGCCAAGCAUCUGUGUUUAUUUUAAAUUCAGCAGUUCCGGGCCCUCCCGCCCUAGGAGCAGAUGCUGGGAUUUCUUCUCGGCACCUCUACAACUCCUCAAGCCUGACCGAGAGCAUCCUCAAGUCACGAGAGAGAAACAAAGGGCAGAAAGACGCUUGCUGGCUUUCCCUUUCAAACGCCCGGCUCGCCACAUGCCUGACUCUGGGCUGAGCCAGGGCCCGAGGCUGGCCCCAGGCGCUGCCCAGAGCCGGAGGCAGGGCUUGCUCCCUGCAUCUCGCCUGAUGACAGACCUCAGAGAAUUUCUGGGGCAGACGAAAAGAGCAUAAUAAGCUUAAUUUCGGCAUUGUAAAGGUUAUUAUUAUAAUCAUUUUCCUCUGAAGAAUUGUAAAUAAUUCAUUUGCAGAACUCUAGUCGAAGUCUCUAAUUAGACUCUCCUUGGCGCUUAGAAAGCUGCUUCCUCCUCCAGUGUGAAACCCAUUUAGUUCGGUUUUUGAUUUGUUUUGACCCUCUCUCCACUCAACAUGCUAAGAAAUAAGCCUCAUAUUGUGUUUUGUUCUCAAAUCCUGUCGGCAGCUUGCCCUGCCUGUCCCCUCGCUGGGGAUGCUUGCAGAGGGGAGGGUGCUGGGGGUGAGAAGGG